GUUUCCAAAAAGGAGCCUGAGGCAUGUGAUGUUUCAGUGUGUUUUCUGUUGAUUCUUGCUUGCUCCUUGCCCUUGGGUCCGGUCCAGGGCAGGAGUGCUGGGUGCUUCCGCUGACACGGGGGUCAUAAAGAACCUUGCAUGUAAAUGGGACUGUACCCUCUAUGCAGCAGUGGCUUUUGCUUUGGUGUAUUUUCUCUGCAUUGGUAACGGAAAGGAUCCACCUGCUUACUGCCCUGGGAGUCAAUGUAUCUGUGGGAUUUCUUAACUCCUCAGUAAAGGUCUUCAGUGAGAUACCUCAGGAGUCGAGAUACAGCAUCCCCCAAAGUCUGUAAAGCUUGUUGGAACAUACCAUCUAUCAAAGUGAAGGACUUGAAACCUGCUUUAGUCUGUACAGAGGUUCUCAUUCAGAAAGCAGCUAGAGGGAACAGAAGAUAAAAGGCUGCCCAGCUUUGAGAAAGAUUAUCAGCAACGUACUACCGAAGUGCACAUAUUCGCCAUCUAUCGUCUGUCUUUAAGGGAACUAUGACUUAGUAACAUGGACAAACUUGAGAGGAGAAGGCAGCACGUUUGCUGCCAACAUCCAGAACAAGCAGCAUGAUGGGGUACUUGCACCUGAACACCGGCAAAAGCAGGUCUCUGCAGCUGACUACAUCCGUGCAAAAUCCAAGCGACAUUUCCGUUGCUGACACAAGGGAGUGCAAUGCCCCCCGCGGCCCUGCUAAGGGCAAGGAACAGGGCCAACGGCACUUUAUGGCUAGUCGGGGUGAAACGACAAGGACUACGAAGCCGCUGCCUCUAGGAACGAACGGCCCCCUCUGCCCAGCACCGGGCUAAAACAUAGGACAUGAACCCCACCUCGAGCCCAGAUAGCACCCCCCACUGUCCGCGCCGCCGCC